rnacentral:lncRNA from 13 species
CGAGAUUAUAUGCUUGGUUCCAGCCUUGGGGAAAGAGUGAGACUCUGUCUCAAAGAAACAAAAGGAUUAUUUAUAUUGAUACUUAAUAAUUUUAGUAUUAUUGUCAUUGAAGAUGGAGUUUUGCUCCUGCUGUGUGCUCCUGCUGGCCUCAGGAGGCCCGAGCAUUGGGUCCUGAAGUCAGCCUCUCCAGGCCCAGCUCCUGCUCUCCUGGCGUCUCCUCCACAUGGGUGGAAGAUAUCCUCACAUGGUUGCCUCUAGGGCCAGCUGCUGCCUCCCAACGGCCCCCUGGGACCCAGCUUCUGCCUCCCCUCAGCCUCUCCGGGAGGUCCAGCCUAUGCCUCCCUUCUGGUGGCCUUUCCAGGCCCGGAUCCUCCUCCUGGCCUCAUCUACUGGACCACGUCCUGCCUCCCGGCAGCUGCUUUUUGCUCAGCUUCUGACCAGCUUCCAGCAGCCUUUCUUCUGUAGGCCCGAAGCUUUCUCAAGUGGGGCUUUUCGGGCCUUCAUUCUGCCUCCUGGCGGCCUUGACUGGCCCUGUUACCACCUGACAUUGGCCCCAGCGGGCCCAGCUCUGGACUCUCCGCAGCUGCCCCAUCACCAGCUGCUCCCUGCUGGUGGCUUCCCCAGGCCAAGAUUCUGCCUGCCUUCCUGCCUGCCUGCCUGCCUGCAUUCUGGCUGCGUCCACAGGCCCAGCGCCCCCCUCACACUGGCCUGUUGGGGCCCAGCUCAUGCCUGUGGCAAACCUCUCCGGACCCAGCUCUCGCCUCACUCUUGCCUUGAGUCUAGACCCAGGCACUCCCUCGCAGGGGUCUUCCUCAGCCCAGCUCGCCUAUCAUGGACUCUCCCAGGCCAGCUCCUGCCUUCUAGCGGUCUGUUCAGGCCCAAAGCUUCCUCUUUGGGCCCGGCCUCCCCAGGCUUAGCUCCUGCUUGCGCCAGGCCCAUACCGGGCCCAGCCUCUGCCUUUCAGUGGACCCUCCAGGCCCAGCUCAUGGCAUCACCGUGGCCUCUGCUCAGGCCCACCUCCUGCCUCUGUGGCAGCCUGUAUCCACA